GACGAACGCUGGCGGCGUGCUUAACACAUGCAAGUCGAACGGAAAGGCCCUGCUUGCCGGGUACUCGAGUGGCGAACGGGUGAGUAACACGUGGGUGAUCUGCCCUGCACUUCGGGAUAAGCUUGGGAAACUGGGUCUAAUACCGGAUAGGACCGCACUUUAGUGUGUGUGGUGGAAAGUUUUUUCGGUGUAGGAUGAGCUCGCGGCCUAUCAGCUUGUUGGUGGGGUAAUGGCCUACCAAGGCGGCGACGGGUAGCCGGCCUGAGAGGGUGUACGGCCACAUUGGGACUGAGAUACGGCCCAGACUCCGACGGGAGGCAGCAGUGGGGAAUAUUGCACAAUGGGCGCAAGCCUGAUGCAGCGACGCCGCGUGGGGGAUGAAGGCCUUCGGGUUGUAAACUCCUUUCGCUAGGGACGAAGCUUUUUGUGACGGUACCUAGAGAAGAAGCACCGGCUAACUACGUG
rnacentral:rRNA from 1 species